UACGUAGGGUGCAAGCGUUGUCCGGAAUUAUUGGGCGUAAAGGGCGUGUAGGCGGCUUUGCAAGUGACGGGUGAAAGCCCUCGGCUUAACCGAGGAACUGCCUGUCAGACUGUAAGGCUUGAGACCGGGAGAGGUGAGUGGAAUUCCCAGUGUAGCGGUGAAAUGCGUAGAUAUUGGGAGGAACACCAGUGGCGAAGGCGGCUCACUGGACCGGAACUGACGCUGAGGCGCGAAAGCGUGGGGAGCAAACAGG
rnacentral:rRNA from 1 species